UCGAUUUGUCAUUUCAAAAUCAAAUUCGUUCUGAUGAUAGUAGUUUCCAAGGAUAAAACUUUAUUUGCUAUCUUCUUUUGAAAUCAUUUCCCUCAAAUGCUCCUUCAGUCUGGAUUUCUUGGCCAUCUUCUCUCUGAAGCGAAAUUAUGAAGCUUCAGCUCUUCUCCCAUCAAGUAAAAGGUUUCUCCUUUAUCAAGAGCGUCUUUUGCUAGUCUAUGUGCAUGUGAGUUCCCUGAUCUGUGAAUAUGCUGAAAUAUAAUCUCUUGAAAACAAGGUUUCUUAUUCUGAAUAAAUGAAAGGAAGAAAAGGAACCUAAAUAUCUACCCCAGUUAAUUCAAAAACGGCUGGAUACCAUUAAUUCUCUCGAUUUGUCAUUUCAAAAUCCAAUUCAUUCUGACGAUAGUAGUUUCCAAGGAUAAAACUUUAUUUGCUAUCUUCUUUUGAAAUCAUUUCCCUCAAACGCUCCUUCAGUCUGGAUUUCUUGGCCAUCUUCUCUCUGAAGCGAAACUAUGAUGCUUCAGCUCUUCUCCCAUCAGGUAAAAGGUUUCUCAUCUAUCAAGAGCGUCUUUUGCUAGUCUAUGUGCAUGUGAGUUCCCUGAUCUGUGCAUAUGCUGAAAGAUAAUCUCUUGAAAACAAGGUUUCUUAUUUUGAAUAUCUCUGAUAAUAGCUCCAAUCAUUAAUUUAUCUGUUAAAGUAGUCUGGCAUUUUUUUUAUUUUUUUGGAGUCCCCCAUAAGUUUAACCGAUUGAACUUUUAGUAAGAUCCCUAGCCUUGUGCCUUCUAAACAUGCAUACGCUUCUGCUGCAAAUGGAGAGGAAACAUUGUUGUGAAUGAUUGUCUUUAAGACCAGUAGUUCCCCCCUCAGAUCCCAACCCACCAAACCUGUGGCUGAUUUGAAGUUUCUACUGUCAAACGCUGCAUCGAAAUGGAUCGUUACUCUUGUUUUCCCCUCAUGUAUGAAUUGAUUUCUGGAAAACCAUAUCAACCAUAAAGCAUAACAGUAGAGUCGGCGUUAAGCGUCAUUACUACUCUUGAAAACCCAGGUUAGCUACUCCCAUAGACUUUGAUUCAUAUUAUUCAUGACCCAGGAUAACUGUAAAAACUGCUAAACUUCUGUUGUUAUAAGGCAUUCACAGAAGACAUGAAGGUUGUCUUCUGCUCAGGAGUAGCAACGGGGACAUCUGUUGUUUGAAAUGACUUUCCUAUACCUGAGAUUAGGAAUAUUAGGAAUAAAAUCCCAGGAAAUUCGCCAAAUAGUGAUUUCAAUUUUUGAAGGUAGCUGUAGGCUCCAUAAUUUCCUGUAAAAUUCAUUAGUUUCGGUUUGUAAUAAAUAAUUAGUAGGAUUCGGAAUAACAUCUUGUAAUAGUUUAUAGACACUGCGUACUGAAAACUCGCCGGAUAAUUCUCUUUUCCAAACUUGAGUAUCCUCGUGAUCAAUCUCUACAAGAAGGAUCUAUAGAAUUUUCUAAGCAAUUUCCGCUUGAAAGCUAUCUUCCCAAAUAGAAAUUUUAUCUCCUCUGCCCACUCUGUAGCACAUCCCUUUUUGGAGGAGUCCCUUUGCUGCCAAAAUACUCUUCCAGGUAAGUGAAGGUAAAUUUCCCAACUCUGCAUUUAGAAAACUUGAUUGCGGAUAGUAUUUUGCUUUUAAAGCUAUGGCUAAUAAAGAAUUUGGAUAAUUAAUAAGGCGCCAACCUUGUUCGGCUAAUAACGCAAUAUUAAAUUGACCAAGAUUUUGAAAACCUAGACCACCAUUUUCUUUUAAGGAACAAAGGUUUUUCCAAAUGCACCAAUGAAUUCCCCUUUUUCCAUGUCCCUUCUUCCACUAGAACCCCACAACGAUACUUUCCAGUUCAUCACAUAGAACUUUAAGUAAUAAAAAACAAGUCAUCGUGUAAGUUGGUAUAGCCUGAAGAAUGGCCUUUAUAAAUACUUCCUUUUCACCCUAAGAUAAAAACCUGUUACUCCAAUUGUCAAUAUGUUUUUUGAGUCGGUCCUUCAGAUUUUAAAAAAUUUCCUUUUUUUUCGACCCACCAUAUUAGGCAACCCUAGGUAACGUUCUGGUUCGUUCGAACUGUGGACCCCCAAUAGAUUGACGUCCAAUCUCUUAUCUUCCUCCAAUGUGUUCUUGCUAAAGAAUACUGUUGAUUUGUCAAAAUUAACACAUUGACCCGAGCAAGAUUUGUACUCGCGUAGAAUGUUCUUGGGUAAAUUAGCACCCUUG